GCCACCUUUUCUAGACUCUCGAACAGAGUUAGCUAUGAGAACUGAGUAGUGAAAGAAUAGGUUACUUACCAAGGAACACAAGCAGGAUGUCAGUGGCAUUGAUGAGACAUUGUUACAUGAUUGUAAAGCUUCAUAUUUAUGCUACCACAGAGGAGUACUAUCAAGAUAGAGAUGAUGUACAUUACAGUAUGUACUGUAUGGUGAUACAUUAAAAUUUGUUGAAAGACUCAUAAUAAUAAUCAAACUAUUGGGUGACUAAAGAAUAGAAUAAUCAUUAUAGUGAUAAUUUUAAUAAUAA